UAGCCAGUCAAUGAACCUGCUUACCUGAAUGUGUUUCUGCAGAAACAUGUUUAGAAAAAGCUGGCAAUAAGAAAGCCAUGUUAUGAGACUUUAAGACACCGAAGUCAUUAAGGCCGCUAAAAAUGGCCACAAGA
ensembl:snoRNA